AUGGCGGCGGCGGUGGCGGCAGCACAGGGCGGGAGAAGUGGUGGUGGCCCCAGCUGUGGGACAGGCGGCAGCCAUAGGGGCUUGUUAGAUAAGUGGAAAACUGAUGAUAAGCCUGUAAAAACUAACAAAUGGGGUGGAUCCGCUGUGAAAAACUCUUUGGAUGAUUCUGCCAAAAAGGUACUUCUGGAAAAGUACAAGUAUGUGGAGAAUUUUGGGCUGACGGUUGCCUCACCACCUGUGCCAUCUCCUGUUUUUUUGCCAUAGUGGCUUUGAUUUGGGAUUAUAUGCACCCUUUCCAGAGUUCAAGCCAGUUUUGGCUCUACGUGUCAUAUCCUAUUUUGUGAUGAUGGGGAUUCUGACCAUUUAUACCUCAUAUAAGGAGAAGAGCAUCUUUCUUGUGGCUCACAGGAAGGAUCCUACUGGGAUGGAUCCUGAUGAUAUUUGGCAACUGUCCUCCAGUCUCAAAAGGUUUGAUGACAAAUAUACACAGAAACUGACCUUCAUCAGUGGGAGAACAAAGCAGCAGCAGGAAGCCGAAUUCACCAAGUCUAACGCCAAGUUUUUUGACCACAGCCACAGCGGGACACUGGUCUUGGAUGCAUAGGAGCCUGAAAUAUCCAGUCUUGCCACAGAAAGAAAAAUAAAAUAG